CUUGUACUCCCUCUGUCCAAAAAUACUUGUCAUUGAAAUGGAUGUAUCUACAUGUAUUUUAGUUCUAGACACAUCCAUUUUGAUGACAAGUAAUUCCGGACGGAGGGAGUACUUG
rnacentral:pre_miRNA from 1 species